UUUAAUUGAAGAGUUUGAUCAUGGCUCAGAUUGAACGCUGGCGGCAGGCCUAACACAUGCAAGUCGAGCGGCAGCGACUUAACUGAACCUUCGGGGAACGU
rnacentral:rRNA from 1 species